rnacentral:rRNA from 1 species
CAAGUCGAGCGCUCAUUCGGUUGCAGCAAUGUAGCCGAGUGGGAGCGGCGCAAGGGUGCGUAACACGUGGGUAAUUUGCCAAAAAGUUUGGGAUAACUCGCUGAAAGGCGAGCUAAUACCGGAUGUGAUCAUCGGGCGGCAUCGUUUGAUGAUUAAAGUUGGGGACCGUAAGGCCUGACGCUUUUUGAUAAGCCCGCGGCCUAUCAGCUAGUUGGUGAGGUAACGGCUCACCAAGGCUAAGACGGGUAGCUGGUCUGAGAGGACGACCAGCCACACUGGAACUGAGACACGGUCCAGACACCUACGGGUGGCAGCAGUCGAGAAUUUUUCACAAUGGGCGAAAGCCUGAUGGAGCGACGCCGCGUGGGGGAUGAAUGGCUUCGGCCCGUAAACCCCUGUCAUUUGCGAACAAACCUUGCUAUUUAAAAGAUGGCGAGCUGAUUGUAGCGAAAGAGGAAGGGACGGCUAACUCUGUGCCAGCAGCCGCGGUAAUACAGAGGUCCCAAGCGUUGUUCGGAUUCACUGGGCGUAAAGGGUGCGUAGGUGGUGAGGUAAGUCGGAUGUGAAAGCUCCGAGCUCAACUCGGAAAUGGCAUUGGAAACUACCUUGCUCGAGGGUUUGAGGGGGGACUGGAAUACUUGGUGUAGCAGUGAAAUGCGUAGAUAUCAAGUAGAACACCAGUGGCGAAGGCGAGUCCCUGGAAAACUCCUGACACUGAGGCACGAAAGCUAGGGGAGCAAACAGGAUUAGAUACCCUGGUAGUCCUAGCCGUAAACGGUGCGUAUUUGCUGUAAAAGGAAUCGACCCCUU